AAGUCGUAACAAGGUUUCCGUAGGUGAACCUGCGGAAGGAUCAUUGACACACAUUGAUCAUCACACACAAACAUGAUUCGUUGGGUGGCGGCGCUGUCGUGUGCUACUACAGCACAAGGACCGCGUCGCACACACAUACAAUCAAACCUUUUUUUCUCAUCGCAAGGUGCGGAAAAAAUUUAUUAUUCUUCUUUUAGAAAUAAAUCUAAAACAAUAAACCUAAAAAUAUUCAACGAUGGAUAUCUUGGUUCCCAUACCGAUGAAGAACGCAGC
rnacentral:misc_RNA from 1 species